AAGAAAUUAGCUCAAUUGGUAGAGCAACCCCUUUACACGGGGUAGGUUGGGUGUUCAAGUCGCCUAUUUCUUA
rnacentral:tRNA from 3 species